rnacentral:rRNA from 1 species
GAUGAACGCUGGCGGUCUGCUUAACACAUGCAAGUCGAACGGAACCUUUCGGGGUUUAGUGGCGGACGGGUGAGUAGCGCGUGAGAAUCUACCCUUUGGUUCGGGACAACAGUUGGAAACGACUGCUAAUACCGGAUGCGCCGGAAGGUAAAAGCUUUAGUGCCAAAGGAAGAGCUCGCGUCUGAUUAGCUAGUAGGAGUGGUAACGGCACCCCUAGGCGACGAUCAGUAGCUGGUCUGAGAGGAUGAUCAGCCACACUGGGACUGAGACACGGCCCAGACUCCUACGGGAGGCAGCAGUGGGGAACUUUCCGCAAUGGGCGCAAGCCUGACGGAGCAAGACCGCGUGAUGGAAGAAGGUCUGUGGAUUGUAAACCUCUUUUGAUAGGGAAGAAGACAGUGACGGUACCUAUCGAAUCAGCCUCGGCUAACUCCGUGCCAGCAGCCGCGGUAAU